UGGGGAAUUGUUCGCAAUGGGCGCAAGCCUGACGACGCAACGCCGCGUGGAGGACGAAGAUUUUCGGAUCGUAAACUCCUUUCGAUCGGAAAGAAUAGCUUUCGGGUUAACAGCCUGAGAGUCUGACGGUACCGAGAGAAGAAGCCCCGGCUAACUCCGUG
rnacentral:rRNA from 1 species